GUUUAAAUAGCUUAAAUUUAAAGCUUAGUAUUGAAGAUACUACAAUGAUUACAAAAUCUUUAAACA
rnacentral:tRNA from 1 species